rnacentral:hammerhead_ribozyme from 13 species
UACAAGUUUGGACUGAUGAGCCCAAAAAAGGGCGAAACUGGUC